rnacentral:rRNA from 1 species
CCUACGGGUGGCAGCAGUGAGGAAUAUUGGUCAAUGGGCGUAAGCCUGAACCAGCCAAGUCGCGUGAGGGAUGAAGGUUCUAUGGAUCGUAAACCUCUUUUAUAAGGGAAUAAAGUGUGGGACGUGUCCUAUUUUGGAUGUACCUUAUGAAUAAGGAUCGGCUAACUCCGUGCCAGCAGCCGCGGUAAUACGGGGGAGCCGAGCGUUAUCCGGAUUUAUUGGGGUUAAAGGGUGCGUAGGCGGCCUUUUAAGUCAGCGGUGAAAGUCUGUGGCUCAACCAUAGAAGUGCAUUUGAAACUGGGUGGCUUGAGUAUGUUUGAGGCAGGCGGAAUGCGUGGUGUAGCGGGGAAAUGCUUAGAUAUCACGCAGAACCCCGAUUGCGAAGGCAGCCUACCAAGCCAUGACUGACGCUGAUGCACGAAAGCGUGGGGAUCAAACAGGAUUAGAUACCCCAGUAGUC